UAGAGUUUAGUAUAAUGGAAGUAUGGAGAGUUUUGAUCUCUUUGGUGCAGGUUCGAGUCCUGUUUUUCUAA
rnacentral:tRNA from 1 species